CUUAGCAGUCUCUGAGGCUACAGAGAAGUGUGAAAAAGAGCAUAGAGAUUUCAGAAGGAGGCAGAUUCAGUGAGACAGACUGAAUCCCGUUUGAUCUCAAUUCAGGCACACUCCAGAUGGACGUUAAAAAUUCUGCCUCGAGGGUGGAGCCAAGAUGGCCGAAUAGGAACAGCUCUGGUCUACAGCUCCCAGCCUGAGCGACACAGAAGACAGUAUUGAACAGCACGCUGGAGUUUUUGUCCAGAAGUUUGACUUUAGAAGAUAGGAAAUAAUUGAGCGUAUUACAAGCAGGAGUUAGAGGAAGAGACUCAGUACAGAAGAGACAGGAACAAAAGUUCACCUCCAUUCGAUGGGAAAGGAUACAAAUCAAGAGCUCAGGAAAAGUAGGAGAAAGAAGCUCUAUUCCAGAAGCAGUGUGGAGCACAGAGAAUCCCUAAUCACUGACAUUAAGAAAGAAGAAAAAUAUUCCUAGGACGAUCCUGGAGAGCAAAGAGAAAGAAGAGACACAGACAUGCAGAGAAAACACAAUGAAGAAGGCCACAUGGGAUGAAGGCAGAGACGGGAAUGAUGCAGCUACAAGCCAAGGAAUGUCAUGGACUGCCGGCAACCACUAGAAAGAAGCUGGAAGAGGGAAGGAAGAAUUCUUCCGUGAUGCCCUCAGAGGAAAAUGGCCCUGCAAACACCUUGAUCUCGGACUUCUCACCUCCAGAACUAAGAGAAUACAUUUCUGUUGUUUUAAGUUAACCAGUUUGUGGCAAUUUGUUACAGCAGCUACA